AGUUUGUGAGGCUCAAUACUGAUAGAAUAGAGCAUAGGGAUUUGCAAAAUCGUUUGUUUACUCUAUGGACAUCUCCUAAAAAAUCCACACCAUUUUAGGCUCCGAAUGAAGACGUGCAGUUCAACUGCGCAUAAAAUGCAGUGCGGUUCAAAUAAUAACAAAUAUAUAUAUAUAUAUGCAAAGAAUUUUGUUACUAUUUGAAACGCACCGCACUGUGCGAUUCGGUCAGCAUUCAAACCACAACACUAAAUAUCUCACUAAAAUAGCUACUAUCAUAU
rnacentral:sRNA from 1 species